rnacentral:rRNA from 1 species
UUGCAAGGCAAGUAUGCCUUAACUUGCAUCUCGUAACAAGGUAACCGUAAGGGGGCUGACGAGUGCCUAACGGGUGAGUAAUACAUCGGAACGUGCCCGAUCGUGGGGGAUAACGAGGCGAAAGCUUUGCUAAUACCGCAUACGAUCUACGGAUGAAAGCGGGGGAUCUUCGGACCUCGCGCGGACGGAGCGGCCGAUGGCAGAUUAGGUAGUUGGUGGGAUAAAAGCUUACCAAGCCGACGAUCUGUAGCUGGUCUGAGAGGAUGAUCAGCCACACUGGGACUGAGACACGGCCCAGACUCCUACGGGAGGCAGCAGUGGGGAAUUUUGGACAAUGGGCGAAAGCCUGAUCCAGCCAUGCCGCGUGGAGGAUGAAGGCCUUCGGGUUGUAAACUGCUUUUGUACGGAACGAAAAGCCUCUUUCUAAUAAAGAGGGGUCAUGACGGUACCGUAAGAAUAAGCACCGGCUAACUACGUGCCAGCAGCCGCGGUAAUACGUAGGGUGCAAGCGUUAAUCGGAAUUACUGGGCGUAAAGCGUGCGCAGGCGGUUUUGUAAGACAGAGGUGAAAUCCCCGGGCUCAACCUGGGAACUGCCUUUGUGACUGCAAGGCUGGAGUGCGGCAGAGGGGGAUGGAAUUCCCCGUGUAGCAUUGAAAUGCGUAAUAUCCGAGGA